rnacentral:rRNA from 1 species
AUGCACGCUGGCGGCGUGCCUAAUACCUGCAAGUCGCGCGAACAGACGAGGAGCUUGCUCCUCUGACGUUAGCGGCGGACGGGUGAGUAACACGUGGAUAACCUACCUAUAAGACUGGGAUAACUUCGGGAAACCGGAGCUAAUACCGGAUAAUAUAUUGAACCGCAUGGUUCAAUAGUGAAAGACGGUUUUGCUGUCACUUAUAGAUGGAUCCGCGCCGCAUUAGCUAGUUGGUAAGGUAACGGCUUACCAAGGCAACGAUGCGUAGCCGACCUGAGAGGGUGAUCGGCCACACUGGAACUGAGACACGGUCCAGACUCCUACGGGAGGCAGCAGUAGGGAAUCUUCCGCAAUGGGCGAAAGCCUGACGGAGCAACGCCGCGUGAGUGAUGAAGGUCUUCGGAUCGUAAAACUCUGUUAUUAGGGAAGAACAAAUGUGUAAGUAACUAUGCACGUCUUGACGGUACCUAAUCAGAAAGCCACGGCUAACUACGUG